ACACCUACAUAACCUUAUACAUGGGCGCAGACAUUUUGGACACCCAAAGUUGUGCGGAGAAGAAAAUGCUACACGGCACAUGAUUGGUCAUUAAGAGAAAAGACUUGUUAUGUAUUUGACAAGUGAAAUAAAGGUGGUAAAAAUCUCAUAUCAAGACUUAGGCUUCUUUGAGAUAUAUAGGAGUUACAGCUAUGCAUCAUCAAGAAGGAGAAGUUUAAUGAACCCUCCCCUCUUACAAUGAACAACAUAUGGACACUCCCAGGAUGAACACUUUGCAUUCAUUAAGAGUUCCCAGGUAUAGGUCUGAUUGACUGGGGUGUGAAAUGUAAUAGCCAGUGGUGUACUUCAGCUAGGACUGUCAGUCCCUAUAUUCAUGAGGUGAGAUAACCAAUGGAUAUGUGUUCUAAAUGUACUAAAUUGACCACUUUUUACAAGUGUUUUCUAUAUCUCUAUAGGAAAAACACCUACAUAACCUUAUACAUGGGCGCAGACAUUUUGGACACCCAAAGUUGUGCGGAGAAGAAAAUGCUACACGGCACAUGAUUGGUCAUUAAGAGAAAAGACUUGUUAUGUAUUUGACAAGUGAAAUAAAGGUGGUAAAAAUCUCAUAUCAAGACUUAGGCUUCUUUGAGAUAUAUAGGAGUUACAGGUAAAAAUUUGAAGGGAGGGGUGCACUUUGGUUAGAGAUUUUCAUUUGGUGCUGAACGCACCUAGUUGUAAACAAAUGGAAUUUGAAAGUAAAAGUGCAACGGCACGGUAUAUUUUUUCUGGCAUGUUUUGUUUUGCAAGA